GGCGAACGGGUGAGUAACACGUGAGUAACCUGCCCUUGACUUUGGGAUAACUUCAGGAAACUGGGGCUAAUACCGGAUAGGAGCUCCUGCUGCAUGGUGGGGGUUGGAAAGUUUCGGCGGUUGGGGAUGGACUCGCGGCUUAUCAGCUUGUUGGUGGGGUAGUGGCUUACCAAGGCUUUGACGGGUAGCCAGCCUGAGAGGGUGACCGGCCACAUUGGGACUGAGAUACGGCCCAG
rnacentral:rRNA from 1 species